rnacentral:rRNA from 1 species
UACGGAGGGUGCAAACGUUGCUCGGAAUCAUUGGGCGUAAAGCGCACGUAGGCGGCUCGUUAAGUCGGGUGUGAAAGCUCCUGGCUUAACUGGGAGAGGCCGUUCAAAACUGUCAAGCUAGAGUCUGGAAGAGGAGAGCGGAAUUCCCGGUGUAGUGGUGGAAUGGCGUAGAGAUCGGGAGGAACACCAGUGGCGAAAGCGGCUCUCUGGUCCAAAACUGGACGCUGAGGGGCGAAAGCGUGGGGAGCGAACGGG